rnacentral:lncRNA from 1 species
UGCCGUGUAUGUGUAUGCACUUACUCUUUCUUGGUUCUUGCAUAUGGUGAUUUAUAUUGCUUAAUCUGUGAAUCUGUGCUCAAAGGUUCAUGGAUUCUGCUAGCCCGAAGAACAAGGUUGAUGAUGUGACGGAUGCCCAGAUGGUGAUGGAGUCUCAUGGCAUGCAUCGACGGCGAAUUGACAUGCACUCUAUUGAGUUCAUGCGCAUCCCCAACAACUUCCCUACAAGGACACAUAAUCUUGACAGCGCAGUAAGCAUCAUUGACCUCAAUUUGCCUCCCAUGGUCGACGAGGAGGACGAGCCCAUGGAAAUCCUAAGUGACUACCCUGGAGGCUUAUCGGGGCCAGUCGAUGUUAUAGACAUGAGCGACUCUCCCAUGGCUGCCAAGGAUGGUGUGGGAUCAUCAGUUGAGGCGGCGUUAACCAACUUCGUGCAACCUAUGGCUGCAAUCCAUGACGAGGAGUCACCCAUGAACUUCGAUGACUUCCCAAAGGUUCCGACAAUGCUUGACUUCCUCAUGGGUGGCUCUGGAGAAGCUCGGCCUCCUCCACAGGGCUCUCAGACAUCACCAUUUUACAUGCACAACUCCAAGAUCCCUGGACCGUGAAUGGCUUGCCGCAAGGGCACAUGUGAAGGUCAUGUUCUUUUUGUUAUGCAAGGAAAAUAUAAUAUACAUGACAUUUUUUGGUGUCUCCUCUGCAAAUUCAUAACAUAUGACAUUCGAUGUAGGUAUAUCGAUACUACAUUCAUUCAUUCAUUCAUUCAUGGAUCACUAGUUUACCCUUUGAAGCGAGGUUGAUCUCGCGUUGAGUUUGCGGUUAUCUAGAAUUAGAUAAGAUUUUUUUGUUUUGGGUUUGAGUUAUGUAAUUCGAUGAAGAACUAGAACUCAAGUGAUAUAUGAUGGUGAAUUUUUAUCCAUUGGGGGACAAGUAUCUCAUGCAAUGUUACAUCCCAAAUUUUUCCCAAAUAUGAAAUGUUUAAAAAAAUGCUUGAGUGCUAUUUAGCUAGAGUUACCUAGGAUUGGUUACAUGUUGACCUUGGAUGGCCACUUAGGAGAGUUAGAGGCCCUAAAUGAUUAGUUGAAACCCUAGUCACACAACGUAGAAAGCCGAAAAGAAAAGCCUAAAGGGGUCAAGGUACAAAGGUAAAUUUCUCAAAAGAUUGGCACCCACGACCAUGUGAACACGUGACACUAACAAUCUCCACUCCGCACAUCCCUGGCCAUACCUAAGCCUUGAUGCCAUGUCCUAUAAGUACCCCUGCCUCACCUAUCAAUUUGCCCCACCUUGCACCACCUCUUGCCUCUAGAUUGUCGGCAAACCAACGCCCGCCGCCUACCUUUGCCCUAACCGCCUCCGGCUAGAUUUCGACAAGUUAACGCCACCCCAAGCCAUGACACUGCCACCAUCCUCUUUCCCGAGCCACGACGCACCUUCUAGGCAUCGCCGCCUUGACCAAAGCUUCCCCGCGCACUAUUCCAAUGAAGGUUGAACCUCUCCACUGCCCACCAUUGAUUCUAGUUAGGUGAGCACACUAUGGACGCUCUUGUCGUGUCCUUCAUCUUCAUCUUGCCCGUGUGCACAUACUCACCCAGUCACGCAUACAAAAAUGCCCAAGUUUGAGCAUGUCGUCAAUGCCCGAUGAUCUCCAUCAACCUCGCCACGCCAUCUUCGUGCACCCCGUGGACCACCAAGACCACCCAUGACCUCCCCGUGCCGGUCCAGCCGUGCCCUUCUCCGCAUCUGAAACACCUUGCAUCGCCGUCCUCAUCAACGACGAGAGCUGCAACACUAUCUUUGUUGUCUCUGUCGACUUUUCUGAAGACCUAACCAUAGUGAGCUCCAGAUCUAUUUUGCACCAUUUGAUCACGCAUAGACCUCCAUGAUUAAAUCACUUAAAAUCUGAAAUGUAUGCACUUACAGCUGCCCAUCUCAGAUCCAACGACCCAUGUUUUAACUUAAAUGGAUCCUUACCAACCAAUUAGAAGCCGCCACGUGCCACCUAAUUUAGAUUAAAUCAAAUUGGCAGAAUUAAACACUGGCAGUUUUACAAAAAAAAACUGAAUAUUCAAACCCUUAUAAUUUCUUACCAAAGAGUCCAAAUUGAGUGGAACUUUUUGAAAAUUGAUACUUAGGAAAUAAACUUUCACAUGACAAUAAAAUUUAAUUUUCAAAUCUUUUGAAAUUUAAAUUCAAAUAAAAUGGUGUCAAACUUAGAUAGGGUCUAACUUGUAAAUAAUAAAUACAAUUUAACCAAUUCUUUUUGCGGAAUCAACCUAGUGAAUUGUGGUUUCAACUUAGCAUUGUAGCUAAAAUUUGAACAAGUUAAAAUUUAAAUAAAUUUUAACAAAAGCCCUAAUUCAAACUAAAUUUAAACCUAAUUAGGAUGAAUUUUAAAAAAAGUCCAAAUAGAAUAAUUCCUUUUACAAAAUAUUUCAGAAACUUAAAUUAAACUUAGUAAUCAUUUUGGAUUUAUAUUUCACAUUAGAAGGUUCAAACAUAAUUUGAAUUAAGUCCAAACUUAAAUGGAACUUAAAAGCCAUUUAGUUAAUUCAAAUUAAAUGGAACCAUCAGCAAGUAAAUUCAUGAACCAACCUUAAUCAAAUAUGAAAUGAUUUGAAUCUGAACCUAGCUUUAUGAAUUUCAAACUUAGUUGAAUUCAAAUUCAAACCUUAUUUAAAGAAAUUAUAAUUAAGUUCAUAGAAGAUGUACCCAAAUUCAAAUUUAAAUUGAAUUGUAAUCGAAACCAAGUUGAUGAACUUAUUCACUUGAGAUGAACCAAAUUCAAAUCAUUUGAACCAAAUUCACACAAGAAGUUCAAACCAAGCCUAGUAUGAAUUCAACUUAGGACAGGACUAGUAGUGGAUCUUAUAAUGAAACCUGGCAAUGCAACCUUGCAUCGCAUACUCCUUAUGUGAUGAACCCUUUUACAAUUUAAACUUAAUGUGAACCCUUAUGUCACAUGUGUUCCAAGUGAUAACUAAUAAGUUGUCUCCAGACUCCUUAAUAGUGGACACAUGACACUUUAUCUCACAACACCAUCUAAACAGAUGCCAUGCACUACACUAUUGUUUGAUAGGUGGUUUUGUAUGGUUGUUUACCAGUACUCUUUAUUUACUACAUAUCGUUCGGGAGCGAAUAGUAGCUUGAUCAAUAACGUGAGACUGAAGAAUCGUCAAUACUAGGCAAGUGGAACCCUUGAUCACUAUCACCUAUUAUUUUCUACAUGUAACAUUUCCAAGCAGGGUUGGGCGCCCUAUGCAUUUGUAGCUGGUGCGGCGUUUUGAGGGCCUUCAAAUUUUUGAAACAACGCAGAUGGCUUGUAGCCCAUUUUCCAGUAGAAGCCCUGGUCAAUAGCCAAGCGAGCAGCCCACCAAAUGGCUCCAUCGUUGUCUCCUCUCUCUAGCUCAAAGAAAACUGAUCUCACGCUGGUCCAAUUGGGGAUCGCAAUUUGUGGGUGCUAGCACACAUGCAACUGUCAUCGCUCACACGCUCCAUCGCCAGCAUGCAAGCACCCUCCCCCUAUCGCACGCACCGCUUGAUCCUGCGUAUGAGGACCUGUUGUGCUAUACCUUCAAGAAUGCCAGGGAGCUUGCGCGCUUCAUCGGGUUGUCUUUCCUCUUGGACAGGGUGAUGGCGCUAACGACGAUAUUGUCAAGCUCUACGUCUUGGUAUACCUUAAGCCUUGGAAGCCAAACAAUGGGCCACUUGUACCCCCUCCUCCCGGUGAGCUCAUACUUGACAUUGAUUCAACCAUGUUGAUGACAUAUGAGUGUCACUGAUUAAGUCUUGUGUAUGUCCAUAAUUCAUUUUAUUUUCUGACAUAAUUUCAUUCUUGUUGCUAUGCAAACUUUAGUCUAUGUGAUGUCCCAAUUUCAGUGCUUUGUUCUACCAAUGCAGAGAUGGUGUUGUCCAAUUUUUAGAACAUAUGUUGUGUAAGUUUUAAUUUACAUGAUGUCCAAAUUUUAGUCUACUUGCUCUGAAAUUUUACGACCAUUUAUCAAAUGGUUUGUUGCCUUUUAUCAAGUCUACAAGAGUUGGACUUAACCCAUUAUUCUCUUCUAUUUUACCGGGCAUGUACAAGCUACGCUUGUUGCUUCAAAGAUGAGUCUAUCGAUAUCAUAAUCAAUGGGAACAAAAGGUAUCAAGUAUUUAUUAUUUCUACUAUAACACUACUAACAUAUGAUUUGGAAUUUAAACCUUUUAUGUGAUCUCCUUCAGAUUACUCUGCCCAAUUUUUUCUUUGUAGCUCGACCACUAGAAGAUACGCCACAUUUUAUAGCAUGGCACACAACCCCAAAUUUUGCCAAACUGGCCCUGUUUCCAAGUCGGGAUGCAUGAUUAGAUUUUACUUUAUGCUUUGAGUGGACAAGAACUAGUAGCAAGGUCAUAUGUAUAGUGCCCUAUAACCAACGUGUAGUGAUGCUUGUCUGCUAUUUAAUAGGCACUACUAGGAAAGGUCUUAUAAGUGAACUCACGUUAGUGGUGGGCGCAAUGUAGCACACACCAGUGAUAAUCUACAAAUUACUAGUGACGCAUGCAAAAAUCUGCCUGCCACUGCUAUCGGCUUACAGUGGCAGGCGCCAGCUUGCGCCCGCCACUGGUAACAAAUGUCCAGAUUUACCGUGGGACAAAUGUUACGAGUGACAGGCACAAACCGACACCCACCACUGGUAGUUGGAUUAAAAGUGGAGCGCAGUAAUAUCAGCUGCCACUGGUAUUUUUGGGUUUUGCAGCAAAUCUGUGUAAAAAUAGAAGUGACGGGCAGUAAUUCGUGCCCGCCACUAUAACUCACGUACUAGUGGCGAGCUUAAUAUGACACCCAUCACUUUAGUUUUUUCUGACCCCCCAGGAAACCACAAAGGUCUGUCAAAUUAUUCCAAGGGAUAACCCUUCUAUCUGUCAAAAAAGAGAUAAAAGAAAAAAAUCUAACCCUAAGCCCCUCCCGUCCGUCUCUUUCUCUCCAGCCACCACACUUCUCGUACCACUCCUCCAGAUCCCCUCGUCUCUAGCCGCCAGAUACUUCUCCUUGUUGAUCCCUCCCUCCUUUGAUCUACCGCGAGCGGCGGCGCCCGACGACUGGCUCGUGAUCACCCUGUAGCCCGAUGGCGGGCGCUCCCGGUCAUGCCCUCCAAAAGAGGAGAAAGAGAGAGAUCGAUCCAUCGAUCGAGCAUCCGGAUAUGGAGAUCCCGAGCCUAUCGCUGCCGCCCAGCCCCGCAAGGGACCAGUUCAUGUACAACAGCUCAUGCACCGCGACCACGCCGACGCGCUGCUGUGCCUGGCAUUCCACCGCUUUGCCUGUGCGAGCAUCACCAUCGCCCGCGUCCACCACCCCUCCCUAGUUAUCACCACGCUCUGUAAGCCACCAAUUCCACUCCACCCAUUUCCUUUUCUUUUCCUGUAUGAAUGAAAUUCCCUACUACAUAGUCUAUCCGAAAAAGCAUGUUAUGGUCGUAAUACAAACAAUAUUUUGCAAAAAAGUCCUUGUAGUUUUAAACCUUUGGAAAAUAGACCUAUGUCUUCUUCCUUUGCCCUCUGUCCACCCCCGCACGUCGCCACGACGAGCUGCCAUCGAAUUCGUCAAUGCACAAUGCAGCGCCCACGAGUAGGUUCGGUGACGCCUCGAGUAGGUCCUGUGCCGCCCACAAGCAGCUCCUGCGCCGCCCACUAGCCCGCCGAUGAGCAGGACCCCCAUCGCCUCCCCACGAGCAAGAACUCCGUCGCCUACCCACGAGCAGGACCAUCGCCACCCAAGACAUAGCUCACCGCCCCCGAUUCCGCUGCUAACUGCCGCCGUGGUGGUUGAGCCGCCGGCUAGUGGUGGUGGCGGUGGUGGGAGAUGUCGACGCCCCCAAUCCACGCCCCCACCUCUGUUGCUGACGGCUGCUACUCCAAUCCUCGUCCCCACCCCCGCCUUUGCUGGUACUAGUCAAUUGUCCUCAUGCUACUAUCCUUUGUUUCAGUUUCAGUUAACAGAUCAUGAAAUUAAAUUGACACAAUCUUUUCAAUUGUCCUCUUAGUUCUAAUCCAAUCCUCGAUUUCAAUUAACUGAUCCUUAAAUUAAAUUGGCAUGUCAUAGGAGAUGUUAACUAUUAAAUUGUUCUCCUAUUGUUGUCCAAUUAUCCAAUUUAUGCUUCGAAUAGUGCAUAAUAGUAAACUAAAAACUAUAGUUGGUAACUAUUCUACCGCAACUAUUGUCCUCCUCCUCCUCCUACUGCUCGAUUGGCGAUAAUCUUUUAACUUGUCCUCCUCCCGCUGUUGUAGGAUUGGCAAUAUCUUUUGGUCUUUUGUGCACUAUUCGAAACUAAAAAUUACAGUAAACUGAAUUUAGUACUCCAAAUAUUGCUUUAGUAAACCAAAGUGUUUCUUGUUGCAACGAUAUGUAGAGCAAUAGUAGUACUCCAAUGUUAUCUCAAACUGAAAACUAAAAUAGGAGUACACUGAUCACUUAGAACAAUAGGAGUGAACUGAAACGUACUCCAAUUGUCAUCCAAUAGGUUCAUUGUCAGGUUCAUACAAUAGGAGUAUUUCUUGUAGGAAACUAAAAACAUACGGUACUCCAAUGUUAUCUCAAAUAAUGUUCAAAUUAUAAAUAAAGAGAGCAUGAUUGUACCAAAAAGAAUAGAUCAAAUUCACUAUUAAUUUGGAGUAGAUCAAAAUCAGACAACCAAGAGUUCAAAACUCAGUACAUUGAUCCUAGGCUAAUGUUGAUUACUUUGUGUAUUCAAAAAAAUCUACUUCUGUCAGUCUAAUAAUGUUUUUGUUAAAAAAUUGGAUAAAUGUAUUACUGGUACUGCGAGGUGCUAUACAAACGGUUUUUAACCCCUUUCCUCGACGGUGUUUGGAAUCGUUGCCAAGUGAGUGUGUGCGAUACGGGGGUCCUUCCCACACAACCUAGAAACCGUCAGGGAUAGGGAGCCAUGAUGCGGCCUUGCCAAAUGUAAUUGUAUGCCAUGCAGCACACUAAAUUCCUUCACACGUGUGGGAUCAGUGAUUAAACGUUUCUAGUGACGCAGUGAAACCAAAUGGUGUGCUGUAAUGAACCAUUUGGGAAACAGUGUGGAAGGCACACAUGCCGACCUGUGAACUGUGUGCGAUAUGUGCCCCAUCACACACGAGUUUGUUGCGGAACUCGUGUGCAUGCAAGACUCCAUCACACAUGUUUCCUAACAAUUACCAUGUGCGAUAAUGUUCUAUCACAAACGGUUCAUGAGCCCCUUCGCACACAUACAAGUGCUGCAGUCCAUUUGUGAUUUGUUAUGUAUCACCGACAGUUGUGCUAAGAGUGACGUGUGCUUUUCGUAUGGGAUCCCACAUGUUUCUAGAAAAAAUUACGACUGGGAUUGUAUUUUACAUCCGGAUGGUUCACUCCGAGCUCUCUUUUGCGAUAAUGUGAUAGCACAAACGGUUCCAAAGCCCCUACGCACACGUAGUAGUGCUGCAAAUCGUCUGCGAUCUGCUGUUAUGACCAACGGUUCUGCUACGACUGACGUUUGCUUUCCGAUGUGGAUCACACGCACUCAUUUAGUUGAACCGUGUGCGCAGCAAUUGCUAGGUUAAAGACAAAAAUAUCCCAUUUGUACCGGCAUGCAAAAAGCAAAUUCACCAAAAUAUGCAAUUGAACCAAAUAGUGUCCACAUGAAGAACAUUCAUCAGAUUUCGCAACAAUUGCAAUUGAACAAAUGGUAGCUAAAUUUCAAUGAUUUGUCCACAUAUAUAUGCAUUACAUAAUUAAUCAUAAUGUACGAAAUACGAAGACCUUAUCAGAUGGAAAACAAUGGAUCCAUGCGUAUAUGUUUAGCGGCUGACUCUUACUCAAUGUUUCAAGAGAUGGCAUGCUAAAAUCUUCAUUAUCACCAGCGGGAUUGAUGUAGUGAAGAAGAAUUCACUGAUAAAUCUUCGAGCCAUCCGCAGUUCACCAGCGGGGAAUGGUUUAGGGGGCCUCGGUUCUAAGAUGAGCUGUAGUAUUUUUAAGAUCAGAAUGUGCCAUAGGAGUGGAGUAGAAGAUAUAAAUUAAGAUAGACUUACUGGUACUAAUUCGCGAGCACUUUCACAACUAUCAGCAGAUUUGCAUAUGGAGAUCAUGUGCGUGCAAACAUAGUAUCCACAAAGGUUGGUCCCUGCUUGUUGCUGAGGACACUGAAAUUUUUUGUACAGAAUUAGUCAUGUAUUUGUCUUGUUAGGAACAACCUAACCGGUGUUAGAUGUAUUUUUUCUUGGGACAGAAAUAGAAAGAGGUUUAUUUAGAAGCUUGAACAUUCGACUAGCCCCAGAAAAGGUAUUUGCAGACUAUUGGAUACAUUUUCUAAAAAUAACGGAUUUUGGUGUGUUACCGGGGAAACGAUCUCGUGGUGUAGAGGUAGUUCCCUCUUGAACAGUUUCCUUGGUUUAGUUUUCCAUAAUGCAAGCACACUACAAAUGAAGAUGAAUUUUGAAAACAUCAAUUAUUGAACUAGAUAUGAAUGCAAAUUAAUUUCAACAUCAUAGAAUUUAAUAUCUAUCCAUGAAUUGCUAAAGAUGCGUCAGAUCCAGAGCGUUUGUUGACUCUUUGAGAGAAUCCAUGUAGUAAACUGUGUUCUUGUUUGGAACAAUGAAUACCAAUAUCCAAUAGUCGCUAAAUAUUAAGAAAGCCAUGAACUUACGAAUUAUGUCAAAAUUUGGAGGACAAUUAGUGUAUGUGUGGUUGUUUAUUUGACUUACCAUGCACGAUAUGGCCAGAGAAAUGAUUCUGCAUGGGACGCAUUUUCGAAGAUAUGGGCGACCGUCUUAAUGGCCCACUCCCGUGCAUAUCCUUAUCAUGUAAUGUUGUGCCAUUUGCUAAUGCAGGAUCAAUGAAAUACACACUCUCCCUUUUUCUUCUCUGCACAUUCAAUCCCCUGAGAGCAAUAAAAUGCAGCUAGCUAUUUAUCAUUUAGAGCGUUGUAUGGAGAAGUUUAUCAGAGUUCGUUAAAUACUUACAAAAUCAGGCAUCUAACAAGAGUGGCAUCGAGCUUGUAGAAGUUGAAGAAGAGAUGUAAGUCCUUGAAACUCACAUUGAUGGAACCAACAUCGUGUCGAAAAAGAUGUAUAUUGUAACAGACUAGCAGAACAUGAUGACCUCCUAACAUUUGAUCCAUGCAAUAUUUAUGUAACUCGCGGCAACUGGAGCUACACUCAUCAAAGUACUCGCCAACAAGAAAUGGAUGGCAAUGGACGUAAUUGCGCGCUUCAAGUACGUUUGCUUUAUUUUUAGCAAGCUGCAAAGUUAUUUCUUCAUCAUCCAUGCCGUCAGACGUAAUAUUACUCCCCAAUUCAAACAACUUGCUGCUAAUUUGGUUCUGGGUGAUGAGUGCUUUAAGUAAGAGGCAAUCGUUCUCUUUCCUCUUCGCUCUUGAGGCGCGCUUCCUCACGGGUGCAGCCUUUUUUCCCGCUUCCUUCUUGGUAUUUGAAGCACUUAUGGUCCAAGGUCUGGUUGGCCGAAAGGCAGACGGUAAAGCUUUGACGGACUGCUUAGCAGACGGUUUAGCUAUGCCGGACUGCCGAGCUAGCGGGGCUACUGUGACGGAAUGCUGGGUUGUAGGAGCAGAGGCAUCAGACUGCUGACCAUGCGUUGAAGCUAUGUCGGGUUUCCGCGCAGGUGGUACCAACUUGUCGGUGUGCUGAGGAGGUCGUGCCAACGUGUUGGUUUGCUGAGUAGGAAGUGUUGACGCAUUGGUAUGCUGAUCAUGCGGCUGCGGACCGAUGGACUGAUGAGAAGUCAGUUCUGGACCUACAGACUGCUUAGCAGGCGGUUCCGAGGCAUCAGACUGCUUCGUAGUCCGUUCCGCCAGGUUGGUCUACUAAGCAUGUGCUGCAGCUGGGUCUCCCCCCGCUGCUUCAGUGGCCGGCAUCUGAACCGGUGGUGCGUCUUGAGCAGUUGUAGGCCUUGCCACUCGCCGCUCUGGGGUGGAUGAUGACAUGUCUUGUAUGGCACAAAGUCGGGCGGGCUGAUCACAGGUUGAUGCAUCUGCCAUCUGAUUACGAGUAUUAGGUUCUUUGGGGGAAGCACGCGAGAGCUGUUGUGGCAAGGAGAGCGUCACCGGUUGAUGGGCGACAUUGGUUUCUCAUGGCGGGGCUUCAGGGAUCUCAUCCAUGAAGUCUAUUUCCUUUCGUGGCCACUGGAUGUAACGUAACAGUGUUUCUCCCAAGGUCCUUUGCUCAUCAAAGUGUCCUAGGACAUUCUUCAGGGAAAAUUCAUUGAAUCCAGGCUUUAUUUCAGUCACAUAGCACUUCACACAGCCCAGCUUCAAUGGCACAUUUUCCAACAAGAGGCCUUCUUCCAAGAAGGGUGGGCAAACCCAGGCUGUUGCACAUUUUAAUGUACCUUCAUAAUGUAUAAGCAUGCCAUUCAGUCUAUCUUUCAUUCCAGAUAGAUCAGAUAUAGCAUCAUCAUGAGCAGCUGCAGUCUCAGUGUCGCUAGGAUCAGCUGAUGCACAACUACUCUUGUGCGAUGUUGUCGCGCAAUAACCAGCAUCCUCCAUGCCUGCCUUCCCUCCCUUCUACUGGCUAUCUGUCAGUGUUAGAGUCUUCUGCAUCAUCAUUGACUCCUCAAUUUCCUUUCGAACAGUCGGAUACAUGUCCUUCCUCAACCUUUCAUACAAUUCAUUCUGCUUCAUUUCACUCCUCGGUUUUUUCAUGUUGAGCAUCUCUUCUUUGCUGAGUGCGAAAGUCCUCUUGUGCGGGACAUUAACACCUAUACCCCUUGCAUAGCCAGGGGGGCUCUCUCUUGUUUCCAGAGCAUUGGACAGAAUGUCACAUGACCCUGAGUUCCUGUAGAACCUUCCAAGGAUCUCGUAAGCCUUUAACAUCACGCUAUACAAUUUUUCAACAUGUGAGUUUUCAAAGUAAUAAGUUUCAUCAUCAUGCCUCCUUGUGCGUGCCUGCAAGUAGUCUCUAACUUGUUUGCCCCUGAUUUCACUACCAGUUUCCGACCUGCAGCUACUGCUUCUUUGUCCUGGUCCCAUAUCAGUUUCAUGUCGUAGUAUCCUGCCACACCCAUACGGUGGGGGUGUGUGUUCCUCUUCUGAAGUUACGAUUUCUUGGCACUCUUCGUAGCAAAAUCUAUAGUUCCCCUGAUCCUUUUGAAUUCUGCCCAGUCCGCCUUUGUAAUUUGGGGGCGUGCGGGGAUUGGGUCCUUGCCUUCACUCAAGUACUUCUUGUACAGCACGUGCUUCCAGUUUCUCCAAGCAUCCCUAGCCUUCUUCAGUGCAGCGUGUUCCACAUGCAUUCUCCACUGCUCUAGAACGUUGAAGUGAUCGAUGAUCUCCCGGACUAUCCUUUGCCAUGUUUCUGUGUCAGCCUUCCGAAACCCCGGCAGAUUAAUGUUGAGCCAUUCCCUGCCAACAAAUCCACACACACUCCUGAACCUCAUGCUUGCUUUAUCUGGUUUAGUUGGAGCCCGAGACUUUAAAUCGAUCUUGGUUACUUCAUAUACACCUUUAGGCUAGUGUGUGGGCUUCCUUGGAGCGUUCCUCUGUGUCCUGGCCAGAAUGGUAAUUGCUGCAGCUCUAUCCCGUUCCAGAUUACUUGAUCCCUCACCAUCUGCUAAAGACCUAGGGUUGUUCGAAUCAGAUGAAGAUACAUCUCCUGAAGCAUGAGUGAUGUCACUGCUACUCGGCAUCUACAGAGAACACAUGUGAAACUCAGGAAAGGAGGAUAAGCAUAAAGCUAACAACUUGGUAUCAAGUUGUCUAAACAUGUCAUGCAACAAUUUACAAAAUGUCGGCUUAUUUGUUACGUUUGUGUGACUCGGGCACCCAAGUUCUGUAGAUCGACAAUAACUUACUGGAACAAAUACACACUGGUAUGCGUCAGUCCUAUACAAAUGGUUUUUAACCCCUUUCCGCAAUCGCCUUUGGACCCGUCGCCAAGUGAGUGUGGGCGAUAGGGGGUCCUUCCCACACGACCCAGAAACCGUCGGGGAUAUGCCCUCCUGGCACACACGCUCGGCAAAAUGAGGUCGUGUGCGACCAGCGAGCGCUUAAAUGCGGAAAUACGUACAGUAGAGCUAAAAACUACAAUUAUACGACGAAAUUGUUUUCGGUCGCAAGUACAUCCCACAUAGUCAGUCAUCGCUAAAUGUUUCCGUUCGUAUGUACAUCCCACACAUUCACUCCAAGGAAAACGUUUCCGUUCACAGGUACAUCACACACGAUUUUUCAUGUUAAAUCAUUUGCGUUAUUGAAUGCAUCACACGUGGUCCGUAGAAAAAACUGUGUGGCAAAGGCUGUCCAUCACACACAGUUUUUAUGUGGUAAACGUUUGUGCAAGGUGGCCUAACGCAAACAGUUUUCAAGAGAAAGUCAUGUGUGAUUGUUCAUUAAUCCAACACGGUUUGUUCCUAGAAACUGUGUAUGUUUCCUGAGGUCAUCGCCCAUGAUAUUUUUUCAACAACUGUUUGCAAUAGCAAAACCAAAUUAGCAGGCUAAUUAUCCGAUUAUUCAUAAUCCAUUUAUUAUUUCUAAUUGACAUUUCAUAUUAAGCACACAAUAUAUUUCAUUUUUAUAAUUGAAAUACAUCAAAGUACAACAUCAUAUAGCUUCAGCACUCAGCUACCCCAUUACACAACUACACCAGGACCAAGUUUCACAUGCAACAUCUAUAACCUUUCGAAAUUAGCAUCAUUGACGGUACAUAGACAGAUGUAUCUCAUCUGGAAAAUUGUUGAAGCAGAAGGCGAAUAUUGAGCCUUCAUUGAUGUUGAAGGUCUUUGUAACUUUAGGCCAGUGCCUGUGGAUAAUUGACCGUCCAUCCUUCGUCGUCUUCAGGAACACUUCAAUAUUGAACCGUGGGUGUUGUAUGAAUACCUUCCUUGCCUCCUGACCAUACAGGUGGUUUGAGAGGUAAUCAUCAGUGAACUGCUUUGGAAAGGCCUGAAAACAAGGAUGUGCAUAAAUAUCUUCUCUAUAUUGGAAAUGGGGCAAAGGAAUAAAAAAAGGCAAGGUAUAAUAGUUAGUACCAUCCUGUAGUGAACUGAUGUCUUCUUCAUUGUGCAGAUAAAGAUCUUGUUGUUUUUUGUCGCUAAUUUCUUUAUCCUAACAAUCUUUCUGAGUUUCUUGACUUGACUGAUAUUCAUGGACAACUCAUUUCCCCAUAUGCAAAAGGGUCGAACAGUGGGUCAAAACCUGUGACAGCAGGACCUACAUGUGCAAGACCAAAUUGUUAAAAACCUAAAUAUUAGAAUGGUUCCUGCAAUUGCCUAAUAAUGUGCUAUUAGACAACGGACCAUGCAUGUGCUAACCUCGAUUGUAAACCUCAGUGCUUCCCAUUGUUUCCCUGCAACACAUAUAAGGUAGUUAGUCAUCAGGUUAAGUAAGAGUUCGCAUGCUAUCAGUAAAAUAUGUUGAUGAAAACUAAGCACAUUGUAGAUUCAUCAGAUUAAUUCAGGCCACAUGGAAAACCCAUUUAUCCAAACCAAGCAUGAUUAAGAACUAGGAAAUAUAUUAGUUGUAUAUGUUUCUCAUGUAUUAAGUGCAGCCAAAUUCAAUUUAUUCCUCACAUGCACAACAAUACAAAAUUCUACCAACAACAAUUGGAAAUCGCAUUGCAGAAUUGAACCAAGCAGUUAACUAAGCACCACAACAAAUGAACCAACAUUAACUGAGCACCACAUUGCAUAAUAUAAUAAACUCCUAAUAGAAGAUCAGAUAGUUAACCAAAUAUUUAACUACAACCAAUUGUAGCAAUUGUAUUUGUUUCUCAUGUCUUUACUACAGCCAAAUUCAAUUUAUUCCUCACAUGGUAUACAAUAACAGAAUGCUCUCACAACUAUUGAACAUCGCAUUGCAUAAUUGAACCAAACAGUUAACUAAACACCACAACAAAUGAACCUAACGCUAACUGAGCACCAUAUUGCACCAUAUAACAUACUCCUAAUAGAAGAUCAGACAGUUAGCCAAACCAAGCAUGCUUAACAACUUAGAAAUAUAGCAAUUGUAUUUUUUUCAUGUAUUUACUACAGCCAAAUUCAAUUUAUUCCUCACAUGGUAUACAAUAACAGAAUGCACCCACAACUAUUGAACAUUGCAUUGCAGAAUUGAACCAAACAAAACAGUUAACUAAAUACCACAACAAAUGAACGAAACAUUAACUGAGCACCUCAUUGCACAAUAUAACAUACUCCUAAUAGAAGAUCAGAUAGUUUACAAAACCAAGCAUGCUUAACAACAUGGAAAUAUAGCAAUUGUAUUUGUUUCUCAUGUAUUUAGUACAACCAAAAUAGAUUUAUUUCUCACAUGGUAUACAAUAAAAGAAUGCACCCACAACAAUUGAACAUCGCAUUGCAGAAUUGAACCAAACAGCCAACUGCGUCGCGUCGUCGGCGUGCGAGGCAUCGAUGGUGGCCUCGACGGCGAGGUGCUCCUCCAAGAUCUGGGGGUCCACAUGAAUGGCAGCCAUCGCGACCUCAUCCGUGCGUGCGGCCGCGAUUUGCGUCUCCGCUGCCAAAUGGUCCUUGGGAUCCUGGCUAUACUACAUGCACCAUGGCUUAGGGCGGCGCUUAUUUGGUGGAGGGGUCGGUGAUUUGGGUGGAAGGUGUCGCGCUGGCGGUCGGGGCAUGUGGGAUGUGGAAGGAGAAGGAGGAUGGGGGUCGGGUGUGGAUUACCUGCCUGGAUAGGUGAGGCCGAGCAGCAUGGAGGAGGGUCGUCGGCGAGGAGGCGGCACUGCAAACAGGGAGUGAAGGUUUCAACUUGGAAAGGAAGGCGAAAAGAGGGGAAAUGUGGAUUUUGGUAAGGGGGAGAGGGUGGGGAGGUAGAUAUUUCCGCGGAAGACAAAAAUUUGGAAUCGCUUCAGCAAAAAAACUGGCAUGCAAAGUGUCAACAGACACGGUCCCUUAUUCAGAAUAUCACAAAUGAUUCAGAUAGCUUAACCCGUGUGUGUUGAGUUUGAACAUCAAAAAAUUUGGUUCGAAUUUCCUUGGUUACAUUGGUCAUCCAUGUCAUUGCAUAAUUUGGGUACACAAACGAGACUAACUUCUUAAUCAAGCAAGUUCGGCUACUAAACAGAGCUAGCUAACCUAAACAUUACUCUAACAAAUUAAAGACUGGUGCUCUUAAUUAAACAAAACAAAGAGUACUACUACAGCUGGUGCUCGUCGAUCUCCGCCGCCACCUCCAUGUCCAGCUCGCGCCCGACGGUCUCCUAGGGAAGGGGCUCCAUGGCAUCAAUUGCACCAUACUCGGCAAGCACCUCGCCAUCCGUGUCUGCCAUCUCUUUGGAAUAGGCUGCCACGAGCUGGGCGUGGGUGGCUGUGAUCUGGGCUCGGGCGGGAUCCCUCGUGGCAAGGUAUGCCGUGCAGGAACGGACGGCUGCUCGAACUCUCUCGGCGAUUGCCAACUCUUUAGUCGUGGGUUGCCGACCGUUAUCGGAGAAGCUUCAUUCGAUUUGUGCGGUGGCCGCCACGAGCUGGGCGUGGACGGCCUCGACAUGGUAGUGGGAGGCCUCCAUCAGGGCUAAGGCCGCCGCUGCGGAAUGGACAGCUGAUGUGCCGCUCUCGCUAGUUGCUACCCCCGAGGCAGAUGCUGCCGCCGCUGCCUGAGAAGCAACAUCGGUCAUUUGGGCUGCCUUGGCCGCCCAGACAUAGAAUGCAGUCGCCCUCACGAAGCUUGUUAGCACGCGCCUGGCUGCUGCGGCCGCGCUCUUGCCGGAGUAGGCCACCUAAGUUGCCAUCACGACAUGGGUCUAGUUCCCCAUCUUUCACCAGCGACGAAUGAACAGUGAAAUGAUAUUUGGAGAGUGAGCUAGCACUACUGCAGGAUGCUGCUAACGCGACACUAUGAUCAGAGACCCUUCGACAAAACUGUGUGCGAUACAAUAAUCACAAACGAUGGUGUAAAAAACCCGUCAAAAAAGGUGCAAAACGUUUGCGAUGGAGGAUGCAUCAAACACGGUUUAGUUUUUGGUUGCGUGUGUGUUGCAGGGCAUACGGUUUAGUUCAAUUAACUAUUUGCGAUGAUGAGGAACAAAUGAAAUGGGUAGCCAGAUGAACGUGUGUGUGAUAUACAGCAUACGGUUCACUAGGAUGAACUGUUUGUGAUUAGGUAACACAAAAGAAACGGUUAGCCAGAUCAAGGUGUGUGCAAUAUACGGCAUGCGGUUCAAUCGGAUAAACUGUUUGCUUUGAGCCAAGAGAAGAGAAACAGUUCAAUAUAACAAGAUGUGUGUUAUACGCGGCAAAGAGGUCUGUAAUCAGAAAUGUGUGCGAAGACUGAUAAUAACACAGACGAUUGCUGCUAAUAAGUCAUGUGUGUUGUGGGCAAACGCUUGGUGGUAUACAAUUGUUAGCGAUUGAUGAAAUCAUCACCGACGGGUUCCCUAGUAUGCUCCAUGUGCGAUGUCAUUGCACACAGAACAACAGCAUAUGUACUUAUAACUUAUAAGGACUUGAUCCCAUAAACAGAUUGAACAUCCAAUUACAUAUGUGGCUAGUACACACAUGACCUUUGCACACACCAAAGUACGUUCCAAAAUGCCUAGGAAACUCAAAUAAUGUAUUAAAAGGCAAAACAAAAUGUGAAUAAUUUCAUAUUUUUAGGACGACACUACUAUAGUUGCAUGUUGCCUCUGUAAAAUAAAUCAAGGCAGGAAGAGACAGCGUAUGUCGUUUCACAUACAUAGGUGACAAGGUCCCUCUCGGAACCAUGAGCCUUUUUGAGAGAAGCUCCGGUUUGUAAGAAGUUUGUACCAAAACUUGUCCCAAAUUGGACUAUUUUUUACCACGGCAUGAUGGUGCUAUGUCAUAACACCAUGCCAAGUUCAAUAAUUUUGAGGCGAGUUUUGGAUUAUAGUAAUUUUUAAAUCAGGUUUCUCAAUGUUUACUAUCGAGUCGGCACCGCCCUGGAUAGGCCUUUUCCUCGUGGGUCCCAAAUGACAAAUCAAAAUUUGUCACUACCAUGCAUCUUUUCUUAUUAAGAAUUACAACCCAUUUGGUGUGCUAGCUGAAAAUAAGUUUGUGGGUGCUGGUGGGUGCUAAUAACUUGCGGUUCUGUAAUGAACAAAGAUCUCAAGGAUCCCGCGAGAGUGAGGCUCUUUCCCUAUGUUGUGAAUGCUUAUAAUAUUUAUGUCUUAAUUAAAGAAAUGGCAAGCCAUUGGCCCAGUAUGAAAGAAAAUGUGGGUCAAACCCUAGUUGAAAAGGGUAACAAUGUCUAACUUCAUCUUACAAAAGGUACAAAAGCACAAGGAUUAAUUGUUCAUCAGGUUUACACAUAACCCAAAUUGAAUAGGACAAUGACAGCUAACUCAACCAAAGUUUUCGACAGUUACAAUCAAAUGGAUCAGUCUGAUCAUAAAAUCAAGAUCCCAAUACAAUAAUUCAACUGCUCCAUGAUGACCACACAAGCUGUUGUAAAUAGAAGCCGAACACUAUCAGAAGCCCUUAGGUCCACCUGAAACUUCUUUUAUGCUCUUGAACACUUGCAGCUGUGAGUAAUUUCUUGUUGAAAAACUUAAUCCUCACGGACAAUAGUGCCCUCGCAUUCAACAUAAAGAAUAUGACAAAGCUAGUGUUUGCACUGUUGGAUGAAUAUCAUUCCAGCGUUACUGUCUUUAACCGAAUGUCAUGAGAUCCGAGAAAAUCCUCGUGCUUCAUCAACCAUCGAUUGGUUAUACCUUUUUCUCCAUGUGUUGUUGCCUAAAUAGAGAUGAAGAUUGAAAACAAUUAAUGUCUAAAAAAGAUUAUGUUGAAAGAGUGAUAGCUGAACAAUUAAUUAUAGUACAUUAUAUAUGGGCUUUCCAUGUGCGUGAAAUCAUCACCUUUAUAUACAAAUUCUCCAGACAUGGAAAGCAUUGCAGCAAGGCAAUAAUGAUGUUGAGCUCAAAACACCACAUACUGAUAUAUAUAAGGUCUUGACAGAAUCCACCACCAUUGAUAGGAUGGACAAGCACUUCAUUGAGCAUAGAACAUAAUAUUAGCACGGAAAGUGUACUCCAAGAUGAUACUUCACUUAUGCGCACAAGUGAAAAAUGCAAAUUACAAAAGUGUACAUGAAUAAUAUACAGUACCUCAGUAGGUGUGGAGGCAAACACCAUCUCGAACUAUUUAAAUGGAUCGCGAAUUGCACCCAAGGUCUCCAGUUUAGGCGCAGAGACCAGAUUUAUUUGGUUAGGUUUAUAACAACAAUCAAGGACCAACCUUUGAAGUGAAGGGGCAUCUUCGAUGAUGAGCUCCUGUCCUUCAAAACUAAUUCCAAUGCUUACAAGGUGAGGCGACAUUAUUUGGAGACAAGGGAUAUCGAUUCCUGCUCCAAAAACAAGCACCAAAUGCUCCAGUGCAGGGCAGCUGGAGUGGAUGAUGCUGUGUAGUGAGGUCUCUGAGAUAUGAACCAACACAAGCGCAAGUUUUUUCAGCAGUGGCAGUCGAAGAAUUUGUACCAGAUUGUAUGCUAGAUGGCACCGGGUCAAGCUAGAGGUGCAGAGAGAGGAGGAAAACCAUGAGAUGGUAAUCAGUGGUGAGGGCAUAGAUGCAGCUAUUGGUGGUAACCUAUCGCUGUAGUAAUGGUAGAACUCAAGCUGCUGGAGUUUAUCAAAUUGACAGGAUGUCAGCCAGGUGGCCACCGUGCAGGGUAUAUCAAGCAGAUAGCAUGCCAGGAUGCGGAUGCGUUGAACGGAGCCCCCGUGGGAGGAGAUGAUGGCUUCGGGGAGUUCAGAAUCAUCAUCGACAGAUAGCUGACGACAGUCGAGAUUAAGAGGCGCGGUGCGCCACAGGGUGCUCCACCGAGAUGCGAGGACUUGUGUGCGGCAGCCAGCCUUGGUGGGGAGAAGGGAGAUGAUCGCCCUAAGGAUGUCGUCCGGGAGAUCUCUGAUGUGAUCCGCCGGAGAUUCUACUGGUUCCUCAGGUCCAGGGGGCGCUUCUGGCCGCACAGCCGGGUCCAAGAUCUACAUCCAGUGGCGGCGCUAGAUGAAGCCUCAUCUGUGUACAUACCAAUCUGAAAGAAAAAGUGGCAUAACAUGUAGGACAUUCGAAAUCAAUUCUCAAGGUCAGGAAGAAAAAAGGCACAAACAUAUAUGUAGGUGACUGACCGGUUUUCUGUCGGAGUCGCAAUUGUUUCCGGAGUUGCUAUUGACCUCCGGCUUCGGCUGGGGGGGCACGACGGCGCCAAUGAAUUCAAGGUCAUGCUGCUACCCGCGCGAGACCUCAUCGGCGGUGACGGAAACCUCUGUGGCCAGCUUGACGCAUUGUAUGAGUGCUUCACUAGCCCCGGUGUUGCCACUCCCUCCGAUGGUGCGCUUCGGCGACAUCGUCAUACACUCCGGAGUCCAAACGUCGAUGACCACUAUUAAUCAGGGGUGCGGCCACCUAUUAUGGUCGGCAGCUCGGGCGUGCAAUUAAUACGGACCAGUGGGAGCGAGAUAGGUUGUGGUUUUUUUGACUGGAAACUGUGAGGCAACAGCCCGACAGCACUUUAUUAAAACUCAACCACCAAACAAACAGAGAGGUUCUGAUAAAAAAUCUAACUAGAGGGGAAGGAAACUACUUACCUAUUGAGCUAUUUACACAAUUACAGGUACAUAUACAAGGAUACAUACAACCAACUAGGGCAAAGAAUUGACCCAGGCUAACAGCAAUGGCUUUAGACUAGGCUUGACUCUGUGAGAGUGCAGAGUAACAUCAUGAAUGAAGUUCCUCUUCUAAGAAGCAAAAGUUGGCCUUUCAUAUCUGAAGAUUCUGCCAUUUCUGAGGAGCCAUAUAUUCCAGGCUGCUAGAUAAACGACCUCCCUAAAGAAAGGUUGCCCAAAGCUCUUCCUUGCAGCAAUUAAACACUGAGAUGGGGUUAAACCAGCUAACCAUUAGAUGUGCAAGUAGUUCCAUACUUUUGUGCUGAAUUGGCAUGUGAAGAAAAGAUGAUCUCUAUCCUCAUGAGCAUGGGCAAAGCAUAACGGGUAGGUGUUAUCUUCCUGAGGUGAUCGCCAGUGCCUCCUGCCAGCAUAUCUCUGGUAUUGAGCCUGUCAUUUAGCAUCAACCACGCAAACACCAUUAUCUUCGUUGUCGCCUUACUUUCCCAAAUCCAUUUGGCUGGAGUAUCAGUGGCCAUGUGAGCAUGCAUCACUGUAUAAUAACUCUUUGCAGAGAAAAUACCUUUGCCAGCUGUCCAAGACCAAGAGUCAUGAAUCCCUUCAUCAGCAUUAAGGUCAAGGAGACCAGACUGGACAACGAUCAUCUCAUCCAUUGCUUCUGGUGACAAGGGCAGAUGAAAGAGUUCAGACAUAUCUGGUGUGUUAAUCACCUCUCGUACAGACACCUUAUCAUCAACGGCAAAAGAGAACAACCUGGGAAACCUCUCUCUAAGCGGAACAAAUGAGCUUAGGAACACCCAAGCAUCAAACCAAAAAAGGACAGAGUCACCCAUGUUUAUGGUGACCUCAGAGUAAAGUCUGAAAACUUCAUUGAGCUUGAGGAUGUCUCUCCACCAAUAAGAACCACAUAAAACUGUGCCAUGAGGAAUAACACCAUCAUAGUAGGUAUUCCAAAUAAGAGAAACCCAAGAGAUGUCAUCUUUGUUAUAAAACUUGGAAAUGUGCUUGGAAAGGAGAGCUUUGUUUUGGAUGGUUAGAUUUACUAUCCCCAUGCCACCUUUGUCUUUGGGUCUGCAAACAAGAGGCCAAGAUGCAAGUGAUUGCCUAGGAGUAUCAGAAUUUCCUCUCCAUCAGGACUACCUCAUAAUCCUUUCAAGAUGCUUUAUAAUACCAGCUGGCAAACAUAAACUGCAAACAAAAUAGAUGGGCAAAGAUGACAGAACUGAUUGGAGUAAUUGCAAUCUAGCACCCUAGUUGAGAAGGCUGGAACUGGCAGACAACCUUCUUUCAACUCUAUCAACCACAGGAAAUAAAUCUUGAAUCCCGGGUUUAGUUGUUCCCACAGGAAGCCCCAGGUAUAUGAAGGGAAGGGUCCCAACAUGGCAGCCAAAAACAGAAGCUAACCUGGCAGUUUCUGCCUCAUCCACAUUAAUAGGCAAUAUGCAUGAUUUAUGGAAAUUUACUCCGAGACCUGUGGAGGCAUGAAAAUCCUGCAGCAUCUCCUUGAGAGCUAAUAGUUGUGAAUCCACAUCAGGCACAAUGAGGAGAGUGCCAUCAGCAUAUUGCACUAUAGGGAAAUCGGGAUCAUGAGUUUCAAUAGGCAGGGAGAUCACUCCAUUUCUGAGCAUAUUGUUUACCAAAGUUUGUAGCAGAUCGGCUGCAAGAACAAACAAGAGGGGUGAUAGUGGGUCACCCUGCCUUACUCCCCUUUUGCAAGUAAAUUGUUUUCCAGGCACACCAUUUAGAAUGACAGAAGAAGUACCAGAGGAUAGAAGCUCUCUAAUCCAACCAAUCCACUUGCUAUCAAAACCCUUGUGAUGCAGGAGUUUGAGUAUUAGGUCAUGCUCAACAGUAUCAAAGGCUUUGGCGAAGUCCAACUUAAGUAUCAAGAUAGGCUUCUUGGAUUUGUGACACUGAUGAAUAUAUUCCAGAGUCCAAGCAAUACAAUCUUGGAUAGACCUGCACUUAAGAAACCCAUAUUGGUUUUAAUGAAUGCACUUGAGGAUAACCUUUUGCAAUCUAUUAGCCAGCAGUUUAGUCAGGAACUUCAGGCAAGUAUUUGUCAAGGAAAUAGGCCUAAAAUCAUUAGGACUCUCAGGUGAGAGUUUCUUUGGAAUUAAGGUGAUUAAAGACCCAUUGAUGCUGCUAAUAGUGACCUUGCCAUCAUAAAAGUCUUGGAAUAGCUGCAAAAAAUCAUCCUUAAUGAUGUGCCAGCACCGUUUCACAAACAAUCCAGUAAAACCAUCAGGGCCAGGGGCCCUGUCUAUAGGCAGAGAGUUAAGAACCUCAUUUAUUUCCUCCUCAGAAAAUGGAGCAGACAGAUUAUCAAGACCAUCCACUUUGUCAAUCAAUGAUGCUAGGUCAAACUUCAUAUCAGUCCCCUCAGAGACACCCAUUCUAUCCUUGAAAGUGCCCCAUAACAUGCCAGCCAUCUGUUGGUGAUCAGAGACAACAUCACCAUUUUCAUUCUAUAGAGAGGAAAUUCAGUUUCUCCUAAAACGUUCAGUUGCCAUUGCUUGGAAAAACUUAGAGUUCUCCUCCCCAACUUUUAUCCACCAAAUGGUACAUCUCUGUUUCCAGUAUAGAAAUUGCGGGUGGAGGAUUUCCUCUAUGUGUAGUUUAACAAUUUUCCUGAAAUUAAAUUCAGGUCUUGUUAAAGGCCUUAACUCUUCAAGAUUAUCAAAAAAGAUAACCACCCUGUUACAAGCUUGAAUGGCCUUCUUUAGUUUAGACAGGCUGAUGUACCAGUGUUUGAGAGCAUUUCGGAGUCUUUUGAAUUUUUCAGUCAAGCGAGUUGCAGAAUUUGUUCUUUUUGUUGGAGCAUUCCAAGAUUGUUCCACACAGUCAAAGAAACCGGGCAGAUCCACCCAAUAGUUGUCAAACUGAAAGAUCUUUGACUUGGGAAUAGAUGUUGCAAUGGAGACUACACAAGGUACAUGACCCGAUGCUGUUCUUGCUAGAGGAUGGACCGUCGUGUUGGGAUAGUCAUUUAUCUAAGUGGAGGAAGUGAAGAACCAAUCCAGUUGCUCCAGCAACGAAUUUUCUUGCAUAUUAGACCAUGUGUAGGAUCUUCCUUUUAAUGGCAGCUCAAGAAGACCAAGGUGGCCAAUGACCUCAUUGAAGAGGAAAAUUUCAUUUAUAUCUCCUCCUGGCAAGUUUCAGUUCUCAGGAGAUCUAAUGAAGUUAAAAUCCCCCACAAGGAGCCACUUAUCAUCUAUUGGAAUUUCCAGAUCAUACAACCAUUGGACAAAAUCAUCUCUAGGCUGCCCUUGACAAGGCCCAUAAACAUUUACCAAGGUCCAUUGACUUUCAUUAUGGGCAGAUAUGAAUGAGACUAUGAUACCAAACGGCUUAAUAUCCACUAAAGUGCCAAUGAACAUGUUAGAGCACCACAGCACAAGGAUUCCACCAGAGGCACCAGCAGAGGGUGAAUAAACAAAAUUGUCAAAUCUUCUCGGGCAAAACUCUCUAAUCGCAUGUUGGUCAAAGAAAUCACAUUUAGUUUCUUGCAAACAAAUGAUAGAGCAUUGGCUUUCCUCAAUUUUCACUCUAACGCUUCUCUACCUAUCUUCAGAGUUUGAACCUCUCACAUUCCAACAGAGAACCUUCCAAUCUCUAAUUUGGUGUGCAUUCAUGAGGAAACAAUAAAAUGAGGCAGAGGUAAUAGCUCACUACAUAACAGUGAAACAAAAGCCCAUAGAUAAAACCAUCAACACAGACGAAAGUGCAGAGAAAAGUGCAGGUAGCAGACAAAAGAGAAAUAAGGUUCAGACAUCUCGCAUGACAAGGGACACACCUCCCUGUAUAACAAUUAAAAGGCUUAAUCGUCAUGAGGAACUACAAGCUUGGGGCAGUAUCUGAAGAAACCAUAAGCUUCUCCUCAGUCAUCUGCUCAGCAGGGACACCAAGUGCUGCUCAGAUCAUCUGAAGUGUGGAAAUUGAAGUUGGAGGGGGAGCCUACUCCUAGGUAUCAUCAUUCUCUGGUUGAGCAUGUCUGCUUGGAGUGGAAGCUUGAUUGUCAGCCUUCAACUUCUUGGCUCUAGGCCGCCUGAAGGGCUUGGGCUUAGGUGACAAAGGAGACAUAGAUUUAAAUUCUUUAGAUUUGGCCACACUCCUUGUCAUCCUUCUGUCAGAAAAGUCUAAGACAGUCUGAACAACUGAAGUUUUGGGCUUUCUGGCACGGGAUUUCCUGGUUUGUUGGACUGUAGUUGAAAAGGUGCAGUUCAUACUAUCUGAAACUUCAGUAACCUAAGUAGUUGCUUCAGAGGAAGGUACACUGUCGUCUGGCUCGAGUGUUGCAGACUAAACACAGGUGUUCUCCAAAAACAGUCUCCUGGUAGUGCAUUGAGGUGAGAGUUGCUGGUCAGGAGCUGGAAAGUAGAAAGAUAGUGGAGGAUCAAAAGCCAUAGUCCAAGAUCUCUUAUGCAUCUGAGGCAAGACAGGUGGAGGCAUGGCCUUAGGGAUCUGGGUAGUCAGGAAAGUGGGCAUGAGUGAUUCGAAAGACCUCCUCCAGAUAAAUUCAGGUGGCAAAGCUGGUCCCAUGACAACUCUCACAAGUCCAACAUGCACAGGAGGUGCAUGAACCAUAAUGGGAUUAUAUGGGACUAUUGCAACAUUGUUCUGGUUUGGAUCUUGCACAGCAACAGGCAUGACCACAUUGUUAGGCUCCUCAAUAUGUAUGUGCUGUUCUGGCUGGUCUAGGAGAUCUUGAUCAACCUGCUCUUGUGGGACUCCUUCCAUGACAUUAUCCUGAACUAGAAAAGGGCCUUCAACCACAGCAUUGUUUGGCCCAUCCACCAGAUCAAUAGGCUCCAAUGGGCCCAAAGCAUCAUCUGACUCGUUUGAACCCAUAGAAGGGUUUAAAACCACAGAGUUAGCCUCCUGGACCUGUGGUUGCACUUGUUGAACCUCAUCCUCACUGUUGUCAUGCCCCCAGCCAUGUAAAUCUUGUGGAUUAGGCUGCGCUUGCUCCUCUGGUUCAGCUGGUUGAGGGACAUCAUUCCACCCGAGAGCAGGGUACGGUAGCAGAACCCAAAAAUUCGUAGGUGGUUGCACCUCACCUGGCAUUGGAUGUGGAUUUCCAUCCACUAGCAUAACAUCCUCAUCAGGUGGUAAUUGCUCAGCAAAAUCGGCAGUCAGAAUAGAAACCGAUGCAGUCCAUGAAACCACUGCUCCACCAAUAUUUGCAAACUGACGAAAAACCACAUCACGUGGAACUAGCUGAUUAUCAGGGAAAGAGGCAUAUACGAGAGAUCUUACAAGCAUAUCAUCUUGAUGAUUCCAAUAAUGAAACUGACCAAACAUACCCACGACCUCAGCUAAGUUGACCUCAUUACGGUAACCCAAAGGAACUCCAACAAACAUCAGCCAACCUGUUCUAUGCCCUUGCAAUGCACGAAAACCCUCUCCGUCAUCAUGCCUACUAAAUCUGACAAACAACUCAUUGCCAUCACUAUAAGAAAUAUGUCAACUUAUGACCUUCUGUCAGUGACCCUGGAAGAAUUGGUCAUAAAUCUAUGACCAUUUUAGACCAAUUGGGCAAAAGCUAUUUGGGGGGUUCCAAACCCUAAACCAUUGCGACCAUUUUGGUCAGAAAGGUCGUAAUUUCCUUACACGAAAUGGUCAUAAAGCAGACAGCACUAGUCUGCUGCCUUAUUUCUAGCUGAUCAUGACCAAUAUAGGUGGUCAUAACCUUGUAAAUUGUGGUGGAUUGGUAUGACUUGGCGCCACCUCAUCAGUUUUGCCUAUGUGUCAUGUCCAUGUGUCAAGUUUUGCCCUAGGUUGUGAAGCAACCUAUAUUUCUGUUAUUCCGAAAAUUCCCAAAAAAAUCUAAUAAAUUCUUUGGGUCAUAUCUUCGUCAAAUAUGUAAAAAUCCUUCCUUGCCUAGUUCAAAAAUAAUUCAACAAUAUUCAUUUUCCUAUUCUGUUCAAAACAACACUUAAUGAAGGAAGUGCUAUUUAUAUAUUCUUGAUUGCGCUCAGAAUUCUUGGGCACUCUUUCCUAUCCAAAUCAUUGCCGCAUGACAAAAUUUAGCCCCAUUUGCCUAGCAAAUCUUCCUCGGAAAAUUUCCAAAGUUUUUGUCCACCUAGAAGCAUUGUGAAGGAAGUACCUUUUUUAUAUAUCCAAAUGACAUGAAAUUUAUACAGUUCCUUCAUAUGCCCAAAUUACCACCCUCCUCCAAAGUGCAGCUCAGUCAAAUCAUCUAUGUGAGCCCAGGUUCAAUUUAUAUUUUAUGGCCAGAUUGGCACAUUGCAAAGCAAGUGUUAUCUAGACCCCUCCUAUUACCCUCAAACUCUUUGGGCACUCUUCCAUACCCAAAUCAUUACCACAUGAUAAUAUUCAGCUCCAUUUUCCUAGUAAAUCUUUCUCAGGAAAUUUCCAAAGUUUAUACCUCGAGGGAAGCUUUGUGAAGUAAGUGCUAGCUAGGCUUACCAAAAUGAUGUGAACAUCUACCAAGGCAUGACCAUACCUAUGUAACUUACCUACAUCAAAUUUGAGCUCAUUUCAUUUAUCCAAUUUCUCUCACUAGUUUUCCCAAGUUUUUGUCCAUAGAAGAGCAUUGUGAAGGAAGUACCACUUUGGCAUGUCCAAAUGGUAUCAAUUUUCUACAAUGCUUUCCAAUGCCCAAAUAACCAUCCUCCACCAAAUUUCAGCUCAAUCCAUUCAUUAUUUUGAGCCCAGAUUCAACAUUCAUAUUUCUGUCCAGUGUGGUACUUUGCAAAGCAAGUACCACCUAGGAUCCUCCUUUUGAUCUGAAAAUUUGCGAAGACAUUCUUCUUAUUAGAUGAUCAUCCUCAGCCAAAACUCACGCCCAUUGGCCGUGUGCAUUCCCGUACUGCCAAUCAAACACUUGGCUGCUAAUUCAUCUUUGAGCAUAGGUCGGUCUCCUCGUGAGAUUCUUCUAUUGUAAUUUUCUUCCUAGCACCUACCUGGGGAGUGCCCAACCCGCUAGACAUGCCUAGGCCUCCCAGAACGCAUGUCAACACCAAGGUCACGCGAUGACCACACACCAGGCAUGCGAGUUCACGCGCUUUGGAGUUGGGGCCCUGGGCCACCAUCCAAACCUCGAUGUAUCGCCACCAAACCAUGUAUUUAUGCUUAAGUAGAGACUUAUGUAACUGAAAAUGAUUUUUGGAAAAAAUAAAGAGCAAACAAUAAGGCAGCUGCAGUUCAAAUUUGACCCGCUUCCUACUAAAUUGGCGGGAAUUUGUCUUUUUCACCAGAGGUGGAUCAAAACUUUUGACACCCAACCAUUUUGUCAAUUGUGCAUUAAAUAUGACCUAGUAUUUUAUAAAAUUAAUUUGGUCCAAUUUUGCAAAAAAUAUAUGGUAGGUCCUUCACAAAAAAACUCAUUUCGGGCACUCGGAAAAUGGAAAAUGAAUUUUCCGCGCAAAGAAAAUGAAAACUCCCUUAGGCAACAUUGUUUGGAAUUCCAAGAUGCACCCUUGUGCACAAUAUUAGAUCAUUUGAACAAACUAUGCCAUGAAUGUGGCCAUAAGAUUGAUCAUUUGGCUUGAAAUCCCUAAAUCUUCACGCGUGAAUAGCUCAUUUCUGAGAACAAUUUUUUAAAAUAAUUGCCGUAUUACAAGUUUAUUAUUUUUCCUGGAAACUUGGUCACAUAUAAUGACACAAUGCGAAGGUUUCCUAAUUUUUUGAUUUUUUUGAUUUUUUUGUGCCCGUUUCAAAAUGCGGUCAAAACCGCGGGCAUGACCGUUCCUAGCUAGUGGUCGAAUCUUGGAAUUUUUUUGGUGUUUCUCUGAUUAAAUAGAUACUUAUGUGCCUAGAAAUGAUUUUUUGAAAAAAUAAAGAGCAAACUAUGAGGCAGCUGCAGUUCAAAUUUGACCCGCUUCCUACUGAAUCGGCGGGAAUUUGUCUUUUUCACCAGAGGUGGAUCAAAACUUUUGACACCCAACCAUUUGGUAAAUUGUGAAUCAAAUAUGGCCUAGUAAUCUAGAAAAAAUGAUUUGGACCAAUUUUGCAACAAAUAUAUGGUAGGUCCUUCACAAAAAAACUCAAUUCGGGCACACGGAAAAUGGAAAAUGAAUUUUCCGUGCAAAGAAAUUGAAAACUCCCUUAGGCAACAUUGUUUGGAAUUCCAAGAUGCACCUUUGUGCACAAUAUGAGAUCAUUUGAACAAACUACACCAUGAAUGUGACCAUAAGAUUGAUCAUUUGGCUUGAAAACCCUAAAUCUUCACGCGUGAUAGCUCAUUUCUAAGAACACUUUUUUAAAAUAUUCGCCGUAUUACAAGUUUAUUAUUUUUCCUCGAAACUUGGUCACAUAUAAUGACACAAUGCGAAGGUUUCCCAAUUAUUUGAUUUUUUUUGAAUUUUUUAUGCCCGUUUCAAAAUGCGGUCAAAACCGUGGGCAUGACUGUUCCUAGCUAGUGGUUGAAUCUUGGAAUUUUUUUGGUGUUUCACUGAUUAAAUAGAUACUUAUGUACCUAGAAAUGAUUUUUGGUAAAAAUAAAAAGCAAACUAUAAGGCAGCUACAGUUCAAAUUUGACCCGCUUCCAACUAAAUCGGUGAAAAUUUGUCUUUUUCACGAGAGGUGGACCAAACUUUUUACACCCAAUCAUUUGGUCAAUUGUGCAUUAAGCAUGGCCUUGUAUUUUAGAAAAAUUAUUUGGUCCAAUUUUGCAACAAUUAUUUGGUAGGUUCUUCACAAAAAAACCUCCUUUUAGGCACUCGAAAAAUGGAAAAUGAUUUUUGUGUGCAAUGGAAAUGAAGACCACAAAAUCAUCAUUGAUUGAAAUUUUAAGAUACACAUAUGUGCAAUAUUGGGUCAUUUAAAUAUACAACAUGAGGCCAAUAUGUUGAUUGUUUUCCCGAAAUAAGAGGGUAAAAAUAUAAAAGAAACAAAAAAACAC